rnacentral:lncRNA from 13 species
AGACUCUAAGAAUGAUGACUGUAUCUCGUCCACUUCUUCAUGGCUUGUGGCUCUCUUUAAUACACUCCCUAAGUUGCAACAGAGAUUCCCACAACAGCAAAAAGUAGUACGUGUAGUAUUCUACACUUCUGGAGUCAGCACAUGAGGCCUUCAGUUCACUCACCACUGACUCGCUGACCCACCCAGAGCAACUUCAGUCCUGUAAGCUCCAGAGUGAGUGUCUUACACAAGUGUUCCCUUUUUAAUCUUUUAGACUGCAUUUUUACUGUCCUUUUUCUGUGUUUAGAUACAUAAAUACUUACCAUUGUGUUACAAUACAUGCUGUACAGGUUUGGAGCCAAGGAGCUGUGGACUAUACCCUAUAGCCUAGGUGUGCGGUAGGCUGUACCACCUAGGUUUGUAAGUAUACCCUAUGAUGUUCGAGCAACAACGAAACUGCCUAAUGACAGUUCUUAGAACACAUCCCCUUUGCUGAGCGAUGCUUGAUUGUAGAUGCAUGGUAUCUUUGAAUUCCAUGGCUCCAGGGCAGAGUAUCUGAGCCUGGGCCUGGUUUGUGGGUGAUAGCUUCCAGAAACACAGGCAAUGCCAUCCACCAUAAUGCUCACCCUCCUUACUGCCAUUCAUUUAGUCAUAAUGUUAUUCAACUCAGUAUGUACCCUGCACUGUGCCAAGCACUUUACCUGUGUUUCCAAUUAAUCUAUCUCAACUCUGUGAAGCAGGUACUAAUAACAUCUCCCUUUUACAGAAACUCAAGUGAAAUGAGUGACUUGCAAAGGUUGUACCUUUGUAAGUCUGUACCUAUUGGUACAGCCAAUAGGUAGUAGAAUCAGGAUUUGAAGGUAAGUUUUUCUGACUCCCAAAUUUAUAUAGGGCUACUGUCUCCUUUAAACACUUCUUUUUCCUUUUGAGACAGGAUCUCACUCUGACACCCAGGCUGCAGUGCAGUGGCAUGAUCAUGGCUCCCUGCAGUCUUGACCUCCUGGGCUCAAUUGAUCCACUCACCUUAGACUCUCAAGUAGCUGGGACCACAGAAAAAGCCUGCCAACCCCUGAUGCAGAGCACAAUCAUACAUAUUGUUUCUUUGAUGAAAUUCUCUCUAAUGAAUAGACUCGUCUUAUUCAAUGAC